CUAGCACACGAAACGACAGAACGUUUCAUCCAUGACAAGAGCCAUACCCAGCUGAGUCACUAUAUAUGAAACUCCCGCCUCUGAGAUGGCGACUUCCACUUUAUCGACAAUUCAGUCCUCUCUUAAUCGCAAACGCCUUUGAUUACCACCGCCUAUUUCAUUUCAAUUCCACAAAUUCGUAAAAACUUCUGCGGAUACUCUUCCUUUGAACUACUUUGUGGCUGACACUAUUGCUGCUGAACUUACAUUUUGGUGGCCCAGGCGAAAGCGUAUUUGAUUAAGGGAGGUCUUGCUUUGAAUCUGCAAAGAGCUGUAAUUUGAGUGCUAUUUUUAAAAAGAAAAGGCAAAAAAAAGGGGAGAAAAUUAAGCAUGUUUUACCUUUUUCUUUUUUUGGUCGUUUUUAUAUAUUUCAUUGCCGAUUCUUAAUGCAGUACUUAAUUUAACUGAUAGCUAUAGGUUGGAUUGAAUGGGAUCUCGUUGUGUAAAGAUCCGUACUCUCUAAGUGGUGAAUAUAAACAUCGGCUUGCCUUGGCUAUUCAACUGGUAAUAACCUUUAUGUAAGUCUACACUUCUUGAGAUGCUCCAUUCUAAAGUUACAGAUUAGGCACUUGUAUAACCUUUAUCCUUGUAGCAUGCUUUGAGUGAUGAGUGUUAUCGAUUUAAUAUUCAGUUUAAAGUCCCUGAUAUGUUGGUUUUGGAAUGAGCCUCUUGUUGGCCUAGCUGUGAGUCAUACUCAGUACUUUUUAGUUCCUAGACCAUUCCUUGUCUUCCCUCUUGUUUAGUCCCCCAGCUGAUGAUUACUAUGAUAUUUUUGAAGUUAAUCAAUAAUUAAGAACCCCUAAUCCCUGUAGUGCAGUGCAGUUUCCUCCAACUUUUUAAAUGCGUGAAUACUUUUAGAGAUAAAGAGUCAAGGGAGGCCCGCUUUGGGCUUGUUGUCUUGAGAUCGGCUAAUUGACGAUGAGUUAUGGAUUUGAAUGUUCUCUUAUUUCCUUUCUUAUCAUCAGUAAUACCAAACUAUACAUCAGGGGUUCACCUCACCAUUCCUUUCCUUUUCAAUAAUUUGGACCUUUGGCCUCCCCCAUGAAAGCAGGUCUGGUACCACCUUGCUUUCAAGACUGGUUAGGGUACUCCAACUGUUUUCAUUUAGAUCAUUUAACUUCAAAUUCAAUUCCAGCUCUUUAGCACUCAAAAUUCUAAAAUUCAAUGCCCUCAUGUUUAUCAGUUAUAAAAAAAAUUUCUCAAUCUUUGAAGUGAUGAGUGUUUCACACUCAAGUGAGUCCAUGGUAAGCUUUCAGUACAUCCUCCUAGCUUCUCCAUUUGUUAAUUAUUUUCUGCUGCAGUGAGUUUGUUUUAAUUGUUAUUAAUGAUGCUUUGGAGAUCAGAUUGGAAGGUAUGGGCAGAUGUUAUAAAGCUUUUGAAGUGCUUGGAGAAAAAAUUGACCAUCCUUGUUGUCAGUCAUUAUCUCAAGUGCUCGGCCUAAAGGAUUGUGGCAUUUCAAGCAGGACCAACGAAAACUAUUUUUCUGUAGAAGGAGAUCCAGGACAGGAGCAAGUUCUUUCCUUCUUAUCUAAUGGCAUUCCAUUUAUGACUCUGGCCUUCUCUUUCCACAAAUUGGGAGUUUUCUUAGCCGUUCCAUACCGGUUUGUCACUGUUGUUGAACUGGAACCGCCAGCAUGAUUCGGGCAUGAUUUCAAUACUUUCAGUGAUAUUGGCAUUUGGCUUCUCAAAUGCCUCGAUUGCACACCGUUAAAUGAGAAGAUGCCCAUCUAGUCAGGGUUGGUGGCGUCAAUUUGUUAGCGUGUCCCACAAUCAUAAAAGCGAGGAAGCUGUUGUCAGCUUGUUGACAAAUGCCACGCAACAGUCUUCAAUCCUGGAUGCCCUAAUUCCAUCCGUGGAUUUGACAGUGAAAGCUGUUGACGAGAGUGAAAAAAGUGUAAACAAAUUGCACUGUUUUUCUUACGAUAUGUCUAAAUUUUUCAUUUGUUUCUGUUGAUUAGAAUAGUUGCAAUUCUAACAUAAGAAGCCCGGCACGGUGACAAAUGCUAUAAAUUGAGGUUGAUGUUGUUCCUAAUGGAGCGUCACGAUCAAUAGCGAUCAUGACACAUGAUAUGUCGGUAUUGUCUACUAUUUUUGCCGGUUUGAUGCACACGCAUGAUCAAAACUAUAACCUA